UACAGAGGUCUCAAGCGUUGUUCCGGAUUCAUUGGGCGUAAAGGGUGCGUAGGUGGUGAUGCAAGUCUGGUGUGAAAUCUCGGAGCUCAACUCCGAAAUUGCACCGGAUACUGCGUGACUCGAGGACUGUAGAGGAGAUCGGAAUUCACGGUGUAGCAGUGAAAUGCGUAGAUAUCGUGAGGAAGACCAGUUGCGAAGGGCGGAUCUCUGGGCAGUUCCCUGACACUGAGGCACGAAGGCCAGGGGAGCAAAACGG
rnacentral:rRNA from 1 species